rnacentral:lncRNA from 1 species
UGAACAUCUGCUUAAAAGUGUACUUAGGAAACUUUGGUCAGGUUUUUUCAUUAAAAUCAUGCACAUUUUGAAAUGCUGAUUGCAUUAGCAAGCACUUGCUGCUUUCAGAAUCAGAUUUACUUUAUGAAAAGCAGAUCAGGCAGUCUCUCUGCCCUCCAGCUUAUCUUGGGGGAUAGGAAAAAAAAAAGGUAAAUGAAAUCUGGUUCUCCAGCUUUCUUCAUGGAUUCAAUAACACAGAUGAGGAGAACAGCGAUGGAGGUUAUGCAGCUGCUGGCCCUGAUUAACUGAGCUCCAUCUGAAGAACCCCAGAAGUGCUGUUUGGAAGACAUCUCCGGAGGGCUCCAGUUCUGCAUCCCAUUGGUGGGUGCUGUCCACACUCAUGGCCCUGACCAGCCCCUCCUGGGGCCUCCCCUGCCCAUGGCCCUGGAACCCUGCUUCAAGCUGAGCUCACGUGCUGUUCACACGUGUGUCUGCACUUGGCCAAACCCUGCUCAGCCUAAACACCAGCUGGUCCUGCAGGCAUGAAGGGGCAACAGAAUUCCACUACUGAGUUUGGCAAAUCCUGAUAGCCAUACCCCUAGGUCAGUGUGCUCUUCAGAUUUGCUGAAGAAGGACUCUGGAAGGACUGUCCAAGCCAUGUGUGGGACCAGUGCAGGACCACAGGGGAGCAGGUACAAAUCUCUGCUUCAUUCAUUCUCAUCUUCCAGAUGGAGCUACUGAGCAAUUUCGUCCAGACAAUUUAACAGUCUUACCAAUGACAUCCAUCUUUCAAAUGAGAAUGCUCUUGGAGGAAGUACCUCAAGUCAAGUUUCAGACUGUGCUAGGAAAUGUGUGGCUGUCUGGACAUCAGUUUCCUGUGAAUCUGGAAGGCACUUGGUUGCUGUUGUGCAUAAUUUAUUUCCUGGCUGGCACUUGUAGCACUGAUGUGUAACCUGAAUAUGGCUCAUCACAUUUGCUCUGAGUGAAGGUGUGCCCUGAAAUGGCUACGGAGAGGUGAACCUGAGCGCAGAGCAGACUGACAGGGACCAGCAGCGCAGGAUGGGCCUUACAGGACCGGGACUCAUGAGCAGAAUGUGUGGAUGGAGCCCACUGGUGAGGUUCCUCAGUGGUCUGACACAUCUUGGAGCUUUCAAGGACUGUCAACAACAUUUCAAAAACAGAAGAAAAUGAGAUUUUGGC